rnacentral:rRNA from 1 species
CCUACGGGGGGCAGCAGUAGGGAAUAUUGCUCAAUGGGGGAAACCCUGAAGCAGCAACGCCGCGUGGAGGAUGAAGGUUUUCGGAUUGUAAACUCCUUUUGUUAGAGAAGAUAAUGACGGUAUCUAACGAAUAAGCACCGGCUAACGCCGUGCCAGCAGCCGCGGUAAUACGGAGGCUGCAAGCGUUACUCGGAAUCACUGGGCGUAAAGGGCGCGUAGACGGGAUAGCAAGUCAGAUGUGAAAUCCUAUGGCUUAACCAUAGAACUGCAUUUGAAACUGUUAUUCUAGAGUAUGGGAGAGGUAGGUGGAAUUCUUGGUGUAGGGGUAAAAUCCGUAGAGAUCAAGAGGAAUACUCAUUGCGAAGGCGACCUGCUAGAACAUAACUGACGCUGAUGCGCGAAAGCGUGGGGAGCAAACAGGAUUAGAUACCCGUGUAGUC